GCGUGCUUUAGACUCAAGAUCGCUAUGACGACGACGAUUCGGCAAUGAGCCAUCUGAAGCAGUUUCGCGGGCUCACUGAAGGCCGACUGACUUUGGAGCACAACGAUGCUCCUCAAGAUCUUGCUGUUCAAACUGCACAGUCUACUGGUGAUCCUUUUCGUAACGCCAAAUUACACAAUCAUCACAUGAUGGCAUACGAUCCUCCUUCGUCGCAGCCGUCUCAUCACAAACAACCGAUCAAGGGCGACACGAAGCAAACUUAUGGACGGAAGACUCAGUUUUAUUCUAGUGGAAUGGCUAACGAUGUUGGUCAUGGGAUGCUUGUGUAUGGCAGCGAUCCAGCAGGAAAGUCUGUGGAGUAUUCUCCUGCCGUCACACUGAGGGAAAGGACAUCUGCAGACAUUGUAGCAAGAAGAAGACAACAGGAAGAAGCUGACCGAGAUAUUGCUCAGUGGAGACAACGAAAAGCAGCAGAACAACAGAACAGGAACGAAGAGAAACGAAAGGAUCUUGAACUGUUGCGAGGUUAUGUACCGUGGGGAAAGCCGGGUGCUGGAGCUCCACUGAAAGGAUGCAACGGCACUGUUCAGGCACAGAGGGGCAAGUUACUUGAAGAACCAAUGGAACCACCUAGUCCACAGGGUUUUUUCUCUUUGUUUGGUAAGCCUGGAGCUGGUGCUCCUAACCGGACAACAUCCGGUAGAGUGAAGGCAGCGUUUGUGCAUGAUCAUAGUACACGGUUCCAAUCGACAAUGAAACGCGAUGUAGAACAUCGUUAUAGAUAUGCUAAAGGCCAUGAUUGCAUCACUGAUUAUGCUCGCAGUCUCGACUCACAAGUGAAGCUGCAGGCUGAGCAACAAGCCAGAAAUAAAGAGUGGGAGCUAGAAAGAGACACAGAAACUAUACACUAUGAUCCUUAUGGUCGACCUGGCGGAGGUGCUCCGAACAGAAAUGACACUGGAGGUGUCAUUACGAGUUUGAAAAAUUCUCUAAGUUCUGAGAGCAGCAAGUCAUUAGAGGAGAAGAAGAGAUACAGCCAACGUCUAGAUCGGCAAAUUCAAGAGAAAGCAAGAUCACGAAAAGAAUCGAUGGGUUUGGAGGUUGAUUAUAAUCCGUGGGGAAAAGGAACGGGUGUACCUCAACGUGAUCCAAGUGGUAACAUACGGAGAUACAGAUACAGUGAGAAAAAUGUUAUUCGAGAGUUUUCUCCAAUUGAUGAAUCAGGAAAUCAAUUGAUGUUUGGUAAAGCAGGAGGUGGUGCCCCAAUUUUGGAUAUCCAGGGAAGACCUCGAGCCCACCUUCAAAACACACUGAAAGAUGAGGUGGCGUUUGAUGUAUCAGGUAGUAGACAUGGAGAAAGUGAUGAAUAUUUUCAGUUUGGUCGCCCUGGUGGCGGUGCACCUGUUAAAGAUCAAAAUGGGAAAUUGGCAGCAAAGCGAGGCAUGGGACCACAACGACAAGAAAAGUUGAGAAAUAGUCAAGAACAAAAGGAGUAUUUGGAUUCACUGAGGUAUGACAUUGAAGUAAAACGAGAUCGAGAUCGUCAACAGAAGGAAGAAGAUUUACGACAGAGCAAUGAGUUUGCUCGGUUGGUUGAACAAGGCAAAAUCGGUCAACCAAAGCGAGAUCCAUUCACAGGGAACAUGUUGAGAAAGCAACCGAAGACUGGCUCAGAUGUCACUUCAUUGAGGUUUGAUGUACGAAGACCUGAUCGGGAGGAGGCAAUGGAAUACUAUAGUGAUCUAAAUAAACAGGUCGAGACACGUCAGAAGCAUCAGGAGAAACCUACAGAGGUGAAUCCCAGUGAAAGCAACACGCAAUUGCCAUGGGAAAGAUCUGUGGAAAAAGAUCAAAGGCAGCAGAAGAAUUAUGGAAGGGAAUUGAAUGAAAUGAUGAGAGAAAAGGAAGACAAGAAAUUUUUAGAGAGCAAUGAGCGUUUGACAGAUGAGCAAAUGCACGUUGACUCAUACAAUGGCAUGUGGGGAAGACCUGGUGCUGGAGCCCCUCGUCGUGAUGCUAAGGGAAAGAUCGUUGCACAUAGAAAUUACAGAACGCUUCAGGAAGACAGUCAUCGUACAGAACCAGUUCGUUUAUGACAGAAUUAAUCUUCGCUUUAGCUAAUUUCUUGCAAGAAAUUGAAUUAGAACAGGCUGUAAAACAUGGAAGAGAUUGCUUCCUGUGUAGAAUUAAUGUUCUUAGAUCUACUUGUGUGACUAUGCAGGACUGGUAGGUAGUACAGUGAUGUCUUGAGGUUUGUAUUAGACCUUGUUGUAAGUGAGUCAAAGUGGUAGA